AAUGCUUCAUCUGGCUUCCUCCCAAAUGCAGGAGAGAGAUAUUUAUUGCCUUUCCUUCCUGCCCAGCUACCCACAGACCCACUGUUCCCAGUCUGUAUCGCACAUGCAGCCGUGCUGGGUCGUGCCCACAGCCUGUCCUGCUGCCGCCCUGGGCUACAUCAUCUCUGGGAGCCAUGAAGCUCAGUGUGGUGCCACCACUUCACUGCUUCUCUCUGCAUCCAGGGAUCAGCAUGACAAACACCUGCUGCUUGUUUGCUCUCUUGUCCCAGCCCCAAGCAGAUAUGUGCACACAGAUGUCUGCUUUUGUUUAAACAAGAAAAACAUAACACUUUUGUUUGUUUUUUUAACCUACAGGUCUUUAAGUGGGUGUCAUGAAGCCUUUAUAGUGGAAGUGAAGUACAAGAGGUGUGAGGGAAGAGGUGGCUGAAAAGACAGAGGACAGAAGAGUGAGGGGAAUCUCUUCAGUUCUCCACACUCCACACCACAGCAGCUUCACCUGCAGCUCACAGAGGAGAGACAAAUACAUGGAAACAGCAGCAAAAGGUGCAUCUUAACUGACCUCUGAAAAGCUCAGAGAAGUCAAAGGCACAAAGGGAGCACAUGCCCAUGAGACAGCCUUGAAAGGUCCCUGAGAAGGGGCAGUUUUCAAGUCCCUACAAGAGACAGAGCUCCCAGAGCUUCUCUGUUCUUCUGCCAAGGUGUGCUGCAUGUGGCCAAUCACCAAUACUUGUACAGUAACCAAGGACUCCUGUUGAGCUGCAUGUGCUGAAACCUUCAGACCUCCUGACCCUUUCCAGCCUCCUGCCAGCCCAUGCUAGACCUUGAGGUGGUCCUGCCAUGCCUGCUGCCGUGCAGAGACACUGAAUAAUGGGCUUCUCUAGGCUUUUAGUAUCCUCAGACACCUUGCUGUAGCUAUGGGUCUGCUUCUCCCCCUCCCCCUGCCCCACGAUUUGACAGAUUUGAAAUAAGCUCCAUUAUUCCAUAAGACUCUCCUGUAGGCCACAGGAACAAAUAAGGAUGCUUCAACAGGUCCAGAGUGGGCUGAGACUUCUGGCACGUUCUGUGGAACCCCAGGGUGUCCUGUAUUGCUGGGUUGAUGGUGCCAGCCCAUGGAGGUGUCAGGGCUCAUGCUGGAGAGGCUGCUACGCAGCUGACAAAGAAUGCUUGUCCCAGCAGGAAACAACAGUCAUGUGUGCUGCCCACCCCGGCUGGUAGGCAAAGUCCAGCAAUUAAACGCACCGGGGUGAAAGUCUGCCGUGCAAGCUGCAGUGCACCACCGCGGUGCCGGCGGGUGAUGCUUCCAGCGCCCCUUUCAUCUCAAGGAAUGCCUUUUCGCAGGUGAUGCUUCGAUGGGAACUGCAGUGUCAUGUUACAACAGGGCUGUCAGCGGGGUCGUUUCAUGCCUGCUGGCCACAGAAAUGUUGUGGGUUGUUUACUGGUAGCUUGAGGGACUUACAGGGACCUCAGAUUCCAAGAAUGAAAGCAUUUCUUUUUGCUUAAGGGGAGAGGGCAACAGUGAAGGGGUAAUUGGCCUUUACUGCCUCUACAAUGUAAUCAGCACAAAUAACACACAAAAUUUUGCACAAGGUGAGUCACUUAAUCUUGAUAUCAGUCGUGGAAGGACGCAUCACAUCAGCCUGAACAACACACAUGCCCAGGCAUGGCCUUCCUGCCCACCUCCAUUUAUUGAAAUUGCAGAGCUACAUGAUGGCAUUUAAGGGUGCCUAGUAGUGUCAUCUCUCACCAUGAAAGCCUUUUCUGAUUUUCUCAGUACAGACAGAGGUGUUGUAGGAGCAUUUCUUGGAUGUUUUGUGAUUGUAAGCAUCAUCUAUUUACAUUUUUUUUUCCAUGGAGCCACAGAGAAAGUGUGCAACAAUAAUUUGUGGUUGAUAGUGCUUUAGAGUCCAACCUCAGGGAAAGGGAGAAGGCUAAAGCAACAUUAGAGAGGCAAUUUACAUUCAGUGUUUUUAUCUGGUCACAUGCAAAAUCUUUGGUUUUUCAGGAUUAAAUAGAAAAGGAUGGAAGGAUUUGUAAAUUAUCUUCUCACUCCCCAAGUGUAAUAAAAUGUGUAAAUUUACUAACUAUGUGUGUUAAAUACAUUACUGAAAAACUACAGGGCCAAUUGUUCAUGUGUUUAAUUUCACUGGAUUCCUUUGAAGAUUUUAUUUUAUUUUAGAU